GCGUGGGUUGCCAAGUCAGGUCAAAGGCGCCGGCUUCAGGGGCCGGUCUCGUAGGAGUUCGGGGGUUCAAAUCCCUUCCCACGCA
rnacentral:tRNA from 1 species